rnacentral:rRNA from 1 species
CCAGACUCCUACGGGAGGCAGCAGCGGGGGAUAUUGCACAAUGGGGGAAACCCUGAUGCAGCGACGCCGCGUGGGUGAAGAAGCGCCUCGGCGCGUAAAGCCCUGUCAGCAGGGAAGAAAAUGACGGUACCUGACUAAGAAGUCCCGGCUAACUACGUGCCAGCAGCCGCGGUAAUACGUAGGGGGCAAGCGUUAUCCGGAUUCACUAGGUGUAAAGGGAGCGUAGACGGCGACGCAAGUCUGGAGUGAAAGCCCGGGGCCCAACCCCGGGACUGCUCUUGGAACUGCGUGGCUGGAGUGCAGGAGGGGCAGGCGGAAUUCCUGGUGUAGCGGUGAAAUGCGUAGAUAUCAGGAGGAACACCGGUGGCGAAGGCGGCCUGCUGGACUGCAACUGACGUUGAGGCCCGAAAGCGUGGGGAGCAAACAGGAUUAGAUACCCGGGUACU